GCAUAUCAAUAAGCGGAGGAAAAGAAACUAACAAGGAUUCCCCUAGUAACGGCGAGUGAAGCGGGAAGAGCUCAAAUUUGAAAUCUGGUGGCCUCAGGUCAUCCGAGUUGUAAUCUAUAGAAGUGUUUUCCGUGCUGGCUCAUGUACAAGUCCCUUGGAACAGGGCGUCAUAGAGGGUGAGAAUCCCGUCCUUGACAUGAACUACCAGUGCUCUGUGAUACAUUUUCAACGAGUCGAGUUGUUUGGGAAUGCAGCUCAAAAUGGGUGGUAAAUUCCAUCUAAAGCUAAAUAUUGGCGAGAGACCGAUAGCGAACAAGUACCGUGAGGGAAAGAUGAAAAGCACUUUGGAAAGAGAGUUAAACAGUAUGUGAAAUUGUUGAAAGGGAAACGAUUGAAGUCAGUCGUGCUCUUUGGAUUCAGCCGGUUCUGCCGGUGUACUUCCUUUGAGUGGGGUCAACAUCAGUUUUGAUCGCUGGAUAAAGGCAGGAGGAACGUAGUACCCUCGGGUAAACUUAUAGCCUCUUGUCACAUACAGUGGUUGGGACUGAGGAACGCAGCACGCCUUUAUGGCCGGGAUUCGUCCACGUACGUGCUUAGGAUGUUGACAUAAUGGCUUUAACGACCCGUCUUGAAACACGGACC
rnacentral:rRNA from 1 species